AUUGAACGCUGGCGGAAUGCUUUACACAUGCAAGUCGAACGGUAGAGGGGGCAACCCCUCGAGAGUGGCGAACGGGUGAGUAAUAUAUCGGAACGUGCCCAGUCGUGGGGGAUAACGUAGCGAAAGUUACGCUAAUACCGCAUACGAUCUACGGAUGAAAGCGGGGGAUCGCAAGACCUCGCGCGAUUGGAGCGGCCGAUAUCAGAUUAGGUAGUUGGUGGGGUAAAAGGCUCACCAAGCCAACGAUCUGUAGCUGGUCUGAGAGGACGACCAGCCACACUGGAACUGAGACACGGUCCAGACUCCUACGGAGGCAGCAGUGGGAAUAUGCACAAUGGACGAAAGUCUGAUGCAGC
rnacentral:rRNA from 1 species